rnacentral:rRNA from 1 species
AUUGAACGCUGGCGGCAUGCUUUACACAUGCAAGUCGAACGGCAGCGCGGGCUUCGGCCUGGCGGCGAGUGGCGAACGGGUGAGUAAUGUAUCGGAACGUGCCCAGUAGUGGGGGAUAGCCCGGCGAAAGCCGGAUUAAUACCGCAUACGACCUGAGGGUGAAAGCGGGGGACCGAAAGGCCUCGCGCUAUUGGAGCGGCCGAUGUCGGAUUAGCUAGUUGGUGGGGUAAAGGCUUACCAAGGCGACGAUCCGUAGCUGGUCUGAGAGGACGACCAGCCACACUGGGACUGAGACACGGCCCAGACUCCUACGGGAGGCAGCAGUGGGGAAUUUUGGACAAUGGGGGCAACCCUGAUCCAGCCAUGCCGCGUGCGGGAAGAAGGCCUUCGGGUUGUAAACCGCUUUUGUUCGGGAAGAAAUCCUCUGGGCUAAUACCCCGGGGGGAUGACGGUACCGGAAGAAUAAGCACCGGCUAACUACGUG